UAUUCUAUUCAACUCUGUUCUAUUCUCGAGGUCAUGCUCCACUUUUAGUGCCAGUGGUGACGCUCUCAUAUGGCUUCAGUCAGCUGCUUCAUGUUGGCAAGAAGCCCACUAUAAUUCCGGAAAUUGGGCGAUUUUCUUAUCAAAAUAAAAUAAAUGACCUGAUGCUUUGUGCUGAAGGAACUAUUUAUUUAUCUUAAUAGCAACUGUAACUUUUUACGUGGUGUAUUUUGGCGUCACAAUUAUUCUUCCAUGCACAUUUCUACUCGCGUAGGCAUUUUGUUCCUGAAAUAUAUCUUGUAUUUGUUGUAGAAUAGAACAAUUUUAUUUUUACGGGUUGGACCCCAAGCGAUGUUUGAUGUAGGUUAACUUGACGCCAAAUAUCAAUGUCCGACUUUGUACUUGAUAGGAACAAGCUCGGCUUCUCCUAAACACAUUUCAUGACUCCAGCAACAACAGGAUGGACGUGGAUCAUCACAUUAACAUCUGACAGCUGUCGGUUCCUGUUGCACUGCAGAAUCUGAGUUUUCUGAUCUCACAAGACCAAAUGUCAGCUGUGAAGCCAGUUCAGUACAGGACCAAGUUUAUUGCUGCUGAAAUGACGUCAGCGUGUGUUGGAGGAGUCAGUCGGUCGACUAUAGAGCAGAGGGAGAGGAAUAUAAAGACCAUUUGUCUUUAAGGUAGAAAGACACUUACAGUUAAUGUGGCCAAAAAGCAGCGGAUGCGGCUGGCGUCCAGCUGCGGCCGGCCUUCUCAAUGGUCUCUCCCACUAUGAAAGCACUGGUGGAUGCUGUAUGGGCGGUGUGGAGCAUCGGGGCCUCCAUUUAUGACUACAUCCACACCAAUGCUAUGGAGGAGCGCAUCCAUGCUCUGGAGGACGUCAUCACCAUCCACCAGUGUGUGAUUGGACUUCUGUCCGCAGGCGUAUUGGUACUCUUUAGCUACAUCCUUUUCAAGAAGAUCUGAAGAUGUAUGAAGGGGUGGGCUGUGGGUGACAUGGGGGAGGUGGACUGACCAGAAUCAAACAUUCGUGUCCAGCGUGGUAAAGCAAACACUGACCAGAUAAACAAAGGGGAAUUUUUACGCGUUGGGUACAUCAGACCAGCACAUUAGAGCUAGAGGGUAUUAAUAGCCAGGGGUGUAGCACAAAAUUUUGAACCAUUUACAUAGGCAUUCUCUAUGGGCCCCUCCCCACAUCCUCAGCUAUUCAUUCUAGUAACUUUGUGGGCGCUCCUCAAAUGAGGAUAUACUCAGUCCCUUUCCCCACCUUCUUUUAAAUUUGUAUUUAUGAAAAUGAAUGGCUUUACUUCUAAAAAGGAUUCAUUGUUCUCCCCCAAAAUGUUAUCUUUUACAGGCCUCUGACGAAGCAAUUAGACCAUCAUGGGAUAUUGUGAGUCAGCAGCUCAUCACAAGUUUUGUUGGCUGAAGCUGUUGACUAAAAUAUGUUUUUAUAUUUUCUUAGGUUUGUUCUCUGAUACAAAAUCACCCAGUGUCAGCAGAACAGACACUCCAUUAUAUCAGCAGUAAACUGGCCAAUUUGCAAUUUGUUUUGAAUAGCCCAAGUAGCUGAAUGUAUCAGAUGGCCGUAUGAGUCUGGGAAUUGCCUCAACAUAGUAAGUCACAAAUAUUCUAAAGGGAUCUUUAUUGAAAAUAAUCAUUCGCGAUUACUUUUGCCUUAACGCAUUUGAUGCUCGAUUUGAUUUUACUCAAUCUCUCUCUCUGUGUUAUCAUGUUUUCACUAAUUUCCUUUAAAGCCUGACUGAGAUAUAAGGAGAAGCUAAUUCCCAUGAAACUAGUGUUGAGUGCAGAGGUACUUGUAUAUCUCAAGGAUUGUUGAUAGUGUAAUUUCUAUAAAUAUUUCAAUUUAUAUCAUACUUAAUUGAUAUACAUGGUUCUCUUAUGAACAUCUCUUACAAUGAAUAAGAGACCAUUAAGUAGGGUUGCAACCCCUUUACAUUGUCCAAGCCUGCAAGAAUUUUAAAACUUUUGUAUCUGUUUCAGAUGAGUAUUAUCUAUAUAAUCGGACUGAAAGUGCAACUUCAUGAUCCAUUUAUAUAAUGGUUUUUAAAUUAACGUCUUGUUAUAUCUCAUAGCUGUUCCAUUACUGUAGGUGCCACUGCAGGCACACAAGACAUUUGAAGUGUCCUUAAAAAAUAAUUGUAAAUAGAUUUAGAUGUUUAUGGAUAGUUUUUUUUUAGCUGGCCAUUGUAACAUUUCAUAGAUGUUCAACUAUCCCAUAACAGUACUGCUGCUGCUUAAUGUUUUUUUUUAAAGGCAACAUUUUGUACCAUGAAAGGCGGGAAUCUAAAUGAGAUGAUUCUUGUACUGUCUGCAAACACUGUUUCAAAGUGUGAAAUGAGAAUUUUAGAGGAUAAAGGAUGUUUUUGUCACAGUAACUUAAAUUUAACUUCACUAACCUGCUAAGAAAACUGUUCAUUGAAAACUAUUGCCGUGUGAAUCUGAAGUAUCUCGGAGGGACCACAGAAGAGAACACCCCAGAAUGAAAGAUGUUUCAAUGUUUUAUUAUAACAGCAUCAAAGUUUGUCUUCUCAAAAUGCAAAAUAAAUGUGGAAUUUAAUAAAACUGGACAUCCUUACAAUACUA